rnacentral:rRNA from 1 species
UACGGGGGGGGCAAGCGUUGUUCGGAAUUACUGGGCGUAAAGGGCUCGUAGGUUGCCAACUAAGUCGGACGUGAAAUCCCUCAGCUUAACUGGGGAACUGCGUCCGAUACUGGAUGGCUUGAGUUUGGGAGAGGGAUGCGGAAUUCCAGGUGUAGCGGUGAAAUGCGUAGAUAUCUGGAGGAACACCGGUGGCGAAGGCGGCGUUCUGGACUGCAACUGACACUGAGAAACGAAAGCCAGGGUAGCAAACGGG